UACGUAGGGUGCGAGCGUUAAUCGGAAUUACUGGGCGUAAAGCGUGCGCAGGCGGUUUUGUAAGCCAGAUGUGAAAUCCCCGGGCUUAACCUGGGAAUGGCAUUUGGGACUGCAAGGCUGGAGUGCGGCAGAGGAGACUGGAAUUCCUGGUGUAGCAGUGAAAUGCGUAGAUAUCAGGAGGAAUACCGAUGGCGAAGGCAGGUCUCUGGGCUGACACUGACGCUCAUGCACGAAAGCGUGGAGAGCAAACAGG
rnacentral:rRNA from 1 species